rnacentral:misc_RNA from 1 species
GAUGAAGAACGCAGCGAAAUGCGAUAAGUAAUGUGAAUUGCAGAAUUCAGGGAAUCAUCGAAUCUUUGAACGCACAUUGCGCCCGCCAGUAUUCUGGCGGGCAUGCCUGUUCGAGCGUCAUUACAACCCUCAGGCCCCCGGGCCUGGCGUUGGGGAUCGGCGGAAGCCCCCUGCGGGCACAACGCCGUCCCCCAAAUACAGUGGCGGUCCCGCCGCAGCUUCCAUUGCGUAGUAGCUAACACCUCGCAACUGGAGAGCGGCGCGGCCACGCCGUAAAACACCCAACUUCUGAAUGUUGACCUCGAAUCAGGUAGGAAUACCCGCUGAACUUAAGCAUAUCAAUAAGCGGAGGA